rnacentral:rRNA from 1 species
CCUACGGGUGGCAGCAGUGAGGAAUAUUGGUCAAUGGGCGGGAGCCUGAACCAGCCAAGUCGCGUGAAGGAAGAAGGUACUUAGUAUUGUAAACUUCUUUUGUCGGGGAACAAAGGCGGAGACGCGUCUCCGGAUGGGUGUACCCGAAGAAAAAGCAUCGGCUAACUCCGUGCCAGCAGCCGCGGUAAUACGGAGGAUGCGAGCGUUAUCCGGAUUUAUUGGGUUUAAAGGGUGCGCAGGCGGGAGAUCAAGUCAGCGGUAAAAUGUCGGGGCUCAACCCCGGCCGGCCGUUGAAACGGGUUUUCGAGAGUUGGAGAGAAGUAUGCGGAAUUCGUGGUGUAGCGGUGAAAUGCAUAGAUAUCACGAAGAACUCCGAUUGCGAAGGCAGCAUACCGGCUCCAUACUGACGCUGAGGCACGAAAGCGUGGGGAUCGAACAGGAUUAGAUACCCUUGUAGUC